rnacentral:rRNA from 1 species
GAGUUUGUAUCGUGGCUCAGGACGAACGCUGGCGGCGUGCUUAACACAUGCAAGUCGAGCGGUGACCCUCCUUCGGGAGGUGAUCAGCGGCGAACGGGUGAGUAACACGUGGGCAACCUGCCCCUAACACUGGGAUAACCUCGGGAAACCGGGGCUAAGUACCGGAUACGACCUCGAGCGGCAUCUCUUGAGGUGGAAAGCUCCGACGGUUAGGGAUGGGCCCGCGGCCUAUCAGCUUGUUGGUGGGGUAAUGGCCUACCAAGGCGACGACGGGUAGCCGGCCUGAGAGGGCGACCGGCCACACUGGGAUUGAGACACGGCUUAGACUCCUACGGA